AUGCACGCUGGCGGCGUGCCUAAUACAUGCAAGUCGAGCGAACAGACGAGGAGCUUGCUCCUCUGACGUUAGCGGCGGCCGGGUGAGUAACACGUGGAUAACCUACCUAUAAGACUGGGAUAACUUCGGGAAACCGGAGCUAAUACCGGAUAAUAUAUUGAACCGCAUGGUUCCAUAGUGAAAGACGGUUUUGCUGUCACUUAUAGAUGGAUCCGCGCCGCAUUAGCUAGUUGGUAAGGUAACGGCUUACCAAGGCAACGAUGCGUAGCCGACCUGAGAGGGUGAUCGGCCACACUGGAACUGAGACACGGUCCAGACUCCUACGGGAGGCAGCAGUAGGGAAUCUUCCGCAAUGGGCGAAAGCCUGACGGAGCAACGCCGCGUGAGUGAUGAAGGUCUUCGGAUCGUAAAACUCUGUUAUUAGGGAAGAACAAAUGUGUAAGUAACUAUGCACGUCUUGACGGUACCUAAUCAGAAAGCCACGGCUAACUACGUG
rnacentral:rRNA from 1 species